ACCUUGUGAUUAGAAACUUGGAUUUUUUAAAAAAAUUAGGAAGCCUAUAUAGCCCAAGACUUUCCUCAAGAACUUUGAAUCCUGUACCACAUAACUAUGACAAAUAUUUUAUUUUAUUAUGGUGUUAUCGCAUGUGUAAAGACCCAAAACUUAAAGAAAAUGAAUAUAUAUUGUAAAGGUGACAACAAUUAAGAGUUUAGGAUUUACAUUCCUUAUACAAUGAAUUGGGAU
rnacentral:lncRNA from 1 species